rnacentral:rRNA from 1 species
CCUACGGGAGGCAGCAGUGAGGAAUAUUGGUCAAUGGGCAUAAGCCUGAACCAGCCAAGUCGCGUGAGGGAUGAAGGUUCUAUGGAUCGUAAACCUCUUUUGUAAGGGAAUAAAGUGCGGGACGUGUCCCGUGUUGUAUGUACCUUAAGAAUAAGGAUCGGCUAACUCCGUGCCAGCAGCCGCGGUAAUACGGAGGAUCCGAGCGUUAUCCGGAUUUAUUGGGUUUAAAGGGUGCGUAGGCGGCCUUUUAAGUCAGCGGUGAAAGUCUGUGGCUCAACCAUAGAAUUGCCGUUGAAACUGGGAGGCUUGAGUAUGUUUGAGGCAGGCGGAAUGCGGGGUGUAGCGGUGAAAUGCUUAGAUAUCACGCAGAACCCCGAUUGCGAAGGCAGCAUGCCAAGCCAUGACUGACGCUGAGGCACGAAAGCGUGGGGAUCAAACAGGAUUAGAUACCCUAGUAGUC